rnacentral:rRNA from 1 species
AGUGAACGCUGGCGGUAGGCCUAACACAUGCAAGUCGAACGGCAGCACAGUAAGAGCUUGCUCUUACGGGUGGCGAGUGGCGGACGGGUGAGGAAUACAUCGGAAUCUACUUUUUCGUGGGGGAUAACGUAGGGAAACUUACGCUAAUACCGCAUACGACCUACGGGUGAAAGCAGGGGAUCUUCGGACCUUGCGCGAUUGAAUGAGCCGAUGUCGGAUUAGCUAGUUGGCGGGGUAAAGGCCCACCAAGGCGACGAUCCGUAGCUGGUCUGAGAGGAUGAUCAGCCACACUGGAACUGAGACACGGUCCAGACUCCUACGGGAGGCAGCAGUGGGGAAUAUUGGACAAUGGGCGCAAGCCUGAUCCAGCCAUACCGCGUGUGAGAAGAAGGCCUUCGGGUUGUAAAGCCCUUUUGUUGGGAAAGAAAAGCAGCAGGUUAAUACCCCGCUGUUCUGACGGUACCCAAAGAAUAAGCACCGGCUAACUUCGUG